rnacentral:lncRNA from 1 species
UAUGUCUUGAAAAAUCAAUAACGUUGUAUUCUUUUUUAAUAAUACUCUUCUGUCUUGGGAUAGUUAACUGUAUUUACUGUUAUUUUUCCACAUAAGCAGAAAAAAUAAAGCCAUGAGGGAGUGUAUUGGAGAUGUCUGCAGUUGAGUCAAUCCUGUAGAGUACAGAGUUGAUUUAUAACUCCAUUUGAUCCAUUUGCUUUAGUGAUGGUCUUUUCUCUUCCAAUCCAGCAUGGUAAAGAUCUGUCAGAGAAAACAAAUGACUCAGACUCCAUGUGCUGUGUCUGUGUACAGUUUAUCCGUCGUCCUUCAUGUUCUUCCCUUAUGCACAUCUGACAAUGUCUCUCAAGGUUAGUGAAAGAGUGAGCAUACCUGCUAAGCAAAUUGGAAAUAAAAUCAGAAAUGUUUUUUGGAGAAAAUGCAGCAAAGAAGCCAUCUCCUCCCUCCUGCCCCAAUUUAUCAUGUCUUUAAGAUUUUCUUUUUGG